UGCUAUGUAUUACAUCUCAAUAACUACGACUUCUUCUUCUUCUCCCUAGGUUAACUCAAAUGGAGUUUCGCUGCAACUACGUUACAACGGUGUACAAGAGUUACAUGACCAGAAGGAAUUUUGCAGAUUGUGCCAUCGUUGUUGAGGAGCUCUGGUGGAAGACUCUAGAGGGUGAUGCUCUGGAUUUGAGCUAUGUUCUUUUUUUUUUAUAAGAAGAGAAACAUGAGGCGAUGUUUCGAAAUGGGCGCGAGCUAGAAAACGAGGUUGGGAAAGGCUUAUCUAAAGAUGAAAAGACUCAAAAAUUAGCUCUUUAGCAUUGGCUUGAAGUUGUAAGUCCCCAUAUCUUUUUGUAACUUUUUAUCAAAGAC